rnacentral:lncRNA from 1 species
UCACCAUUCCAAAGUUGCAGAAUUCCCAUAUUAAUCAUGAAAUACUACGAACUUACGAAACUACCAAACAUUAAGAAGAUAACCAAGUAACCGCUGCUGUAAAAUAUUUAACCGGCUUUCUCCAUCCAUCCAUCCAGCCAGCAUCAGACGGCUAGUGGCGGCUCUUGGGAUGUCUUGUUUCUUGAACUUACUUCCUGCCCCCACCUCGGCCCACCCUGGGGUUGUGCCCUUGGUUCGCCCGCGGGUCGCUGUAGUCGUUGGUGGUCACCUUGAGAGACCGACGUGCCUCCCCUUUUGCCGCCCAAGCCUCUUCUCCUGCUUUAACCAUUCAGACGGAAACAAACUCGUCAAGCGCUCUCAUGCAUGACGCUGUCCCAUGACAUCUGCUACUAAAAGAGAAGAAGAAGGAGGAGAAAGCGCUAUCCUAUGACAAUUAAUAAAAUCCUACUACCAUCUUGGUUAUAUAAGCAGCUAAAGUCCAGGUUCUAGGGAUGCGUUUGAGGCUAGCAUUAAAGUCGAAUCUGCGUGCAAUAUAUGAUAGAUUUUGAUAUGUUUGAGUGUUCGCUCGAAAGUUACUACAAAGUGUGUCGUAUGAAUCUCUUUGGAUCGUAGGCCGGCUUUUAGUCGAAACUCAGUAUUGGCUUUAGGAUACAUAUCUUCAGAGCAUGGAAAUUUAGUGGACAGCUAGCUGCCCAUCUGUCGUUCGCUAGUUCACUUAGAUACAUAUAGAUAUGUAUUUGCGUGUUUGUGAUCUUAGCACACAUCUCCUCGAUUUAGUGACUAGUUGAAGGACAGCUGCGGAGAGAGAUUCCCAUGAACAACUGCACGCUUAAAUUAGGUUUACAACAUGGACAAGAUCCAAUGUUGCAUGGUUAAAAAAAAAGAACGACACAAGUAGGCCUCAGAAUAUGCCAGAGACAAGGGGGAAAAAAAAGGAGAAAAAAUAAAAAAUAAAAAUAAAAUAAAAUAAAAAAGAAAGAGCUACCUGAAACUAAAGUGAAGUUGCUUGUUAAAGCCAAAGCAAGAAAGAAGAAGAAACACAAAUCACGAAGAAAGCAACGUAGCCCUGAAUCCAUCUCCUCCAGACUCCGGUAUUCACAACAGAUUGGAAGAGGAGGUG